rnacentral:lncRNA from 1 species
CCAGUACUUGCAGGUAUUCAUUACCAACUUCCACUACUAUAUGCAUCAACUAUGUAAUCUCAUCACAUAUGCUUUGUUAAUUGCAACUACAGAGAAAUUGAUGAACAAACAUCAAAAUUAGUUUGCCAAUUACAAACCAUAUAGUAUGUCCUCUGCUUAAAAGGUAAUAACACAUGUACAUGAUCUACAAUUCUUUGUUGGCAUACUAUCAGUAGGAGAACAAGAAUAUUUCCAGGAAACUGAUUGAUCCAGACAACAUCCUUCAAAACAAUGUGGUACCUGACAUGUGUACAUUAAAAUUAUCGUCAGCAACUCAGAAUUUCCGGACAAGUAAAAUAAGGUGCUUACAAGAUGUCCUCACUAUCAUGUACUGCUUACAUACUUUGUGAUAACCCCGACGAGGAAUAAAAUUCUAAGAAAGUUAAAUAUGAUUGGAUUUCGACUAUCAAUAUGAUACUAGCCCAUCCAAGUGCACGGGUCAACUAUCAAAAUACUUGAUACUCUUUGCAUGUUGUUGUUCUUGGACAAAAUGCUUACAUUUUUCCCUCAUAUUUUUCAGGAUUAACUACCUGCAGUCAGCAUGCGUCGAACUCGCAAUGGACUUGACAAAAACAACAAUAGGUAUUCGUUACCACAAUAUAAAAACAAUUUUAUACCCAUUAAUUUACCUAGAUUAUUAAAAUGGCACCAAAAUCUAAUGCAGCAAUGAAAGACCUGACAAAGCAACCUCCAAACUUGCCACUCUACAAUCUAAUGAUAAUCAACCAGACAUCAUUAGAGCAGCAAUGAAGGAUGCUGCACGGAAAAGGAAAGAAAUACUUCAGCAGAAAAGGAAUCAGGUGCUUAUAAGAUGUCCUCACUAGCAUGUACUUAAUUUUUUUUGUGAUGUUCCCAAUGAGGAAUAGAUUUUAAUUUCUACAGUCAAGGUUAAAUAUUCAGUGAGAAAUAUCACAUGGGGUACAUGCCAGAUCUUUGGCUCCAGAAAGGAAAUACUGCUAACUUCCAUAUACUUAAUUCUAUCUGCAUGUUGUUGCUCUCAAACAAAGCGUUACAAUUUUUUCCCUCAUUUCAGGAUUCACUAGCUGCACUCAACUUGCGUCGAAGUAACGGUGGACCAAAUCAAAACAACAGAAGGUAUUCAUUACCCCAAUACCAAAAAAUAAUUAUAUAGACAUUAAUUUACCUGGAUUAUUCAAAUGAUACCAAAAUAUAAUGCAGCAAUAUAUUGGGUGAUCAAACAAUACAAAUACCUGAGCAAGGAACCUCGCAGCUUGCGACAGUAGAAUCUAAUGAUAGUCAAUCAGAUAUUAUCAGAGCAGCAACGAAGGAAGCUAGACGAAAAAGGAAAGAGAUACUCCAGCUGAAAAGGGAAAGGAAACGAAUAAGGACGGAAAAGGACAAUAAUGGCUGUGAAGUAUCAAAUAUAGCAAAGGAUGUCACUCAAGUUUCAAAUUUUGGAAAACCAAAUUGCGUUUGUGAAUUUUGCAAUGUCAUUAUGUGGCAUGGAGAGAGAAGCACAAACACACGUAACAUCACAGUUCCAAAAUUUGGUCUCUGCUGCAAGGAAGGGAAAAUUAAAUUACCACCACUGAAGCAAGCUCCGUUGUAUCUCCGACAGCUACUACGUUACAAUGAAAGAGGAGAGUCAUCCAAUUUUCGCCAGAACAUCAGGUUGUACAACUCCAUGUUCGCGUUCACUUCAAUGGGAGGAAAGGUUGACUAUGAAAUUAAUAAGCAGACACCUGGACCAUAUGUUUUCCGUUUGAAUGGCCAAAACUACCAUCAGAUUGGCACUUUACUUCCUAAAGAUGACGUGAUGAAACCAAAAUUUGCCCAAUUGUACAUACAUGACACAGAAAAUGAAGUGCGUAACAGGAUUACUGCAUCAACUUCAAUGGAGAGUAAGACAAAGCCAGAUGAAAACAUUGUCAAAGGUCUACUAGAGAUGCUAGAUGAGCACAAUGUUUUAGUCAAAUCGUUUCGUAUGGCAAGGGACAGGUUCGAAAACCGAGAAAUUAAAGAUGUAAGACUAAGAUUGAUCAACAAAAGGUCAAAAGAUGGACGGCAAUACAACCUCCCAUCUGCCUCAGAAGUUGCAGCACUAAUUAUCGGGGAACAAGAUGGAGAAAAUAAUGAAUUUGAUAUAAUAAUUGAGACCAAAGACAGAAUGUUACAGAGGAUUUCAGAGUUGCACCCAAGCUAUAUGUCAAUGCAAUACCCCUUGCUUUUUCCAUAUGGAGAAGAUGGGUUCAGACCAGAAAUAGAGUAUCAAAAAAAGAGAGGCGACAAGUGUAAGAGAAAGUAUGUAACAAUACUGGAGUUUUAUGCAUAUCGCAUCCAACAACGUCUUAACCAAGCAACAACCUUGCAAAUGAGUGGACGUUUGUUCCUACAGUUCUUAGUUGAUGCAGCAACGUGCAUUGAACAAUGGAGACUAAAUUGGUACAGGACAAACCAAGGUAAGCUGAGGACAGAACUAUACAAAGGACUGCAUGAUGCAAUAGAAAAUGGAGAUACACGAACUGAACAAGUUGGCCAAAGAAUCAUACUACCCUCAACAUAUAAUGGUAGCCCUAGAAAUAAGCAGCAAAACUACCAAGAUGCCAUGGCGAUUUGUCGUUGGGCUGGCUAUCCUGAUCUCUUCAUCACUUUUACAUGCAAUCCGAAAUGGCCGGAAAUACAGG